UUUCAAGAUGCUGAGACCAUAUCUCCUGGCAGUCCUCGCUCUUUCAGCUGUUUUCGUAAAAGUUUCCCCAGAUUUUAUCGAGAAGGAUGAGUUUCCAAUAGCCCAUUGACUAAAUCAAACCCAAGGCCCGAAAAAUAAUGUGGAUUCUGAUUCUUCCUUGGAUGUUUAUAAGUCCAAUUGUACAGAUGAAUCGCCAAAAAAUUGCCGAGAAGAAGAGCUGGAGAAAAUGGUGCUGCAACUUUUGAGAGAAUCCAAAACACCUCCUAGGAGCAAGCGGAUCAAAGAUUGGUUCGGGAAUUUAUGGAACUCGGUACGCAAUGCCAUAACAAAUUUCGUACCUAAACUACCGAAAUAUGAAAAAGAUUAGUAAUUUCAUUGGCAGUCAUGGUAGAUCUUCCCCAUUUCAUUUGUUUCAAGAACAUAUUAGGUAAAUUUUGAAUGGUAUAAAAUAU